CCUACGGGAGGCUGCAGUAGGGAAUUUUGCGCAAUGGGCGAAAGCCUGACGCAGCAACGCCGCGUGAUCGAGACGCCCUUCGGGGUGUAAAGAUCUGUCAGUGGGGACGAAACUUGACGGUACCCACAGAGUUCGCACCGGCUCACUCCGUGCCAGCAGCCGCGGUAAUACGGGGGGUGCAAGCGUUGUCCGGAAUCAUUGGGCGUAAAGAGUUCGUAGGCGGCACGUAAAGUCUGGUGGUAAAGGCAGAGGCUUAAAUCAUGUACGGCACUGGAUACUUGCGAGCUAGAAUGCGGUAGAGGUAAAGGGAAUGCCUGGUGUAGCGGUGAAAUGCGUAGAUAUCAGGAGGAACACCGGUGGCGAAAGCGCCUUACUGGCCCGUAAUUGACGCUGAGGAACGAAAGCGAGGGUAGCAAAUGGGAUUAGAUACCCGUGUAGUC
rnacentral:rRNA from 1 species